GAUGAACGCUGACAGAAUGCUUAACACAUGCAAGUCAACUUGAAUUUGGGUUUUUAACUUAGAUUUGGGUGGCGGACGGGUGAGUAACGCGUAAAGAACUUGCCUCACAGCUAGGGACAACAUUUAGAAAUGAAUGCUAAUACCUGAUAUUAUGAUUUUAAGGCAUCUUAGAAUUAUGAAAGCUAUAAGCACUGUGAGAGAGCUUUGCGUCCCAUUAGCUAGUUGGAGAGGUAACAGCUCACCAAGGCGAUGAUGGGUAGCCGGCCUGAGAGGGUGAACGGCCACAAGGGGACUGAGACACGGCCCUUACUCCUACGGGAGGCAGCAGUGGGGAAUAUUGGACAAUGGACCGAGAGUCUGAUCCAGCAAUUCUGUGUGCACGAUGAAGUUUUUCGGAAUGUAAAGUGCUUUCAGUUGGGAAGAAAAAAAUGACGGUACCAACAGAAGAAGUGACGGCUAAAUACGUGCCAGCAGCCGCGGUAAUACGUAUGUCACGAGCGUUAUCCGGAUUUAUUGGGCGUAAAGCGCGUCUAGGUGGUUAUGUAAGUCUGAUGUGAAAAUGCAGGGCUCAACUCUGUAUUGCGUUGGAAACUGUAUAACUAGAGUACUGGAGAGGUAAGUGGAACUACAAGUGUAGAGGUGAAAUUCGUAGAUAUUUGUAGGAAUGCCGAUGGGGAAGCCAGCUUACUGGACAGAUACUGACGCUAAAGCGCGAAAGCGUGGGUAGCAAACAGG
rnacentral:rRNA from 1 species